AUUGAACGCUGGCGGCAGGCUUAACACAUGCAAGUCGAGCGGAGAUGAGGUGCUUGCACCUUAUCUUAGCGGCGGACGGGUGAGUAAUGCUUAGGAAUCUGCCUAUUGGUGGGGGACAACAUUCCGAAAGGAAUGCUAAUACCGCAUACGUCCUACGGGAGAAAGCAGGGGAUCUUCGGACCUUGCGCUAAUAGAUGAGCCUAAGUCGGAUUAGCUAGUUGGGGGGGUAAAGGCCUACCAAGGCGACGAUCUGUAGCGGGUCUGAGAGGAUGAUCCGCCACACUGGGACUGAGACACGGCCCAGACUCCUACGGGAGGCAGCAGUGGGGAAUAUUGGACAAUGGGGGGAACCCUGAUCCAGCCACGCCGCGUGUGUGAAGAAGGCCUUAUGGUUGUAAAGCACUUUAAGCGAGGAGGAGGCUACUGAGACUAAUACUCUUGGAUAGUGGACGUUACUCGCAGAAUAAGCACCGGCUAACUCUGUGCCAGCAGCCGCGGUAACAC
rnacentral:rRNA from 1 species